rnacentral:rRNA from 1 species
GACGAACGCUGGCGGCGUGCUUAACACAUGCAAGUCGAACGGUAAGGCCCUUCGGGGUACACGAGUGGCGAACGGGUGAGUAACACGUGGGUGAUCUGCCCUGCACUUCGGGAUAAGUCUGGGAAACUGGGUCUAAUACCGGAUAGGACUCCGGACUGCAUGGUCUGGGGUGGAAAGCUUUUGCGGUGUGGGAUGGGCCCGCGGCCUAUCAGCUUGUUGGUGGGGUGAUGGCCUACCAAGGCGACGACGGGUAGCCGGCCGGAGAGGGUGACCGGCCACACUGGGACUGAGAUACGGCCCAGACUCCUACGGGAGGCAGCAGUGGGGAAUAUUGCACAAUGGGCGCAAGCCUGAUGCAGCGACGCCGCGUGAGGGAUGACGGCCUUCGGGUUGUAAACCUCUUUCAGCAUCGACGAAGCGAAAGUGACGGUAGGUGCAGAAGAAGGACCGGCCAACUACGUGCCAGCCGCCGCGGUAA